rnacentral:rRNA from 1 species
UAGCUUGCUAGAUUGAUGGCGAGUGGCGAACGGGUGAGUAAUACAUCGGAACGUGCCCUGUAGUGGAGGAUAACUAGUCGAAAGAUUAGCUAAUACCGCAUACGACCUGAGGGUGAAAGUGGGGGACCGCAAGGCCUCAUGCUAUAGGAGCGGCCGAUGUCUGAUUAGCUAGUUGGUGAGGUAAAGGCUCACCAAGGCGACGAUCAGUAGCUGGUCUGAGAGGACGAUCAGCCACACUGGGACUGAGACACGGCCCAGACUCCUACGGGAGGCAGCAGUGGGGAAUUUUGGACAAUGGGCGAAAGCCUGAUCCAGCAAUGCCGCGUGUGAAGAAGGCCUUCGGGUUGUAAAGCACUUUUGUCCGGAAAGAAAUGGCUCUGGUUAAUACCUGGGGUCGAUGACGGUACCGGAAGAAUAAGGACCGGCUAACUACGUGCCAGCAGCCGCGGUAAUACGUAGGGUCCAAGCGUUAAUCGGAAUUACUGGGCGUAAAGCGUGCGCAGGCGGUUGUGCAAGACCGAUGUGAAAUCCCCGAGCUUAACUUGGGAAUUGCAUUGGUGACUGCACGGCUAGAGUGUGUCAGAGGGGGGUAGAAUUCCACGUGUAGCAGUGAAAUGCGUAGAGAUGUGGAGGAAUACCGAUGGCGAAGGCAGCCCCCUGGGAUAACACUGACGCUCAUGCACGAAAGCGUGNGGAGCAAACANGAUUANAUACCCUGGUAGUCCACGCCCUAAACGAUGUCAACUAGUUGUUGGGGAUUCAUUUCCUUAGUAACGUAGCUAACGCGUGAAGUUGACCGCCUGGGGAGUACGGUCGCAAGAUUAAAACUCAAAGGAAUUGACGGGGACCCGCACAAGCGGUGGAUGAUGUGGAUUAAUUCGAUGCAACGCGAAAAACCUUACCUACCCUUGACAUGCCACUAACGAAGCAGAGAUGCAUUAGGUGCUCGAAAGAGAAAGUGGACACAGGUGCUGCAUGGCUGUCGUCAGCUCGUGUCGUGAGAUGUUGGGUUAAGUCCCGCAACGAGCGCAACCCUUGUCUCUAGUUGCUACGAAAGGGCACUCUAGAGAGACUGCCGGUGACAAACCGGAGGAAGGUGGGGAUGACGUCAAGUCCUCAUGGCCCUUAUGGGUAGGGCUUCACACGUCAUACAAUGGUGCAUACAGAGGGUUGCCAAGCCGCGAGGUGGAGCUAAUCCCAGAAAAUGCAUCGUAGUCCGGAUCGUAGUCUGCAACUCGACUACGUGA